CCUACGGGAGGCAGCAGUGAGGAAUAUUGGUCAAUGGCCGGAAGGCUGAACCAGCCAAGCCGCGUGAAGGACGAAGGUGCCAAGCAUUGUAAACUUCUUUUGUCAAGGGACAAAAUCAGGCUCGCGAGCCUGACCGAGGGUACUUGAAGAAAAAGCAUCGGCUAACUCCGUGCCAGCAGCCGCGGUAAUACGGAGGAUGCGAGCGUUAUCCGGAUUUAUUGGGUUUAAAGGGUGCGUAGGCGGGCUGUUAAGUCAGCGGUAAAAGCCCGGGGCUCAACCCCGGCGAGCCGUUGAAACUGGCUGUCUUGAGAUGUCGAGAGGUAUGCGGAAUGCGCAGUGUAGCGGUGAAAUGCGUAGAUAUUCGGAGGAACACCGGUGGCGAAGGCGGCCAACUGGGCUUUAACUGACGCUGAGGCUCGAAAGUGUGGGGAGCAAACAGGAUUAGAUACCCUGGUAGUC
rnacentral:rRNA from 1 species